UAUGAAUUUUUUCAAAGACCUUUCUUGUUUGGAUCUUUGAAAAAAUUCAAGAAAGGUUUUUGAUUAAUUGGGGUGAUUUUUAAAUUUUAAAAAACUUUAGAAGUGUAUUAUUAGAUCCAAUAUUAUUGAUGGUUUAAAAAAAAUACUCUAGGGAUAACAGCGUUAUUACUUUGGAUAGUUCAUAUAGAUAAAGUAGAUUGCGACCUCGAUGUUGGAUUAGGAUACCUUUAUUAAUGAAGAAGUUAUAAAAGGAGGUUUGCUCAACCUUCAAAUUCCUACAUGAUCUG
rnacentral:rRNA from 1 species